GUUAGGAAUAUUGGACAAUGGGCGCAAGCCUGAUCCAGCCAUGCCGCGUGAGUGAUGAAGGCCUUCGGGUUGUAAAGCUCUUUAGUCCACGAAUAUAAUGACUGUAGUGGAAGAAUAAGCCCCGGCUAACUUCGUGCCAGCAGCCGCGGUAAUACGAAGGGGGCGAGCGUUAUUCGGAAUCACUGGGCGUAAAGCGUGCGUAGGCUGUUUUGUAAGUCAGAAGUGAAAGCCCAGGGCUUAACCCUGGAAUUGCUUUUGAAACUACAAGACUCGAAUUCGGGAGAGGAUAGCGGAAUUGUCAGUGUAGCAGUGAAAUGCGUAGAUAUUGACAGGAACACCAGUGGCGGAAGCGGCUAUCUGGACGAGUAUUGACGCUGAGGCACGAAAGCGUGGGGAUCAAACAGGAUUAGAUACCCUUGUAGUCC
rnacentral:rRNA from 1 species